AUACAUAUGUCUUAAAUUUAUAUAAAUAUAAUAUAAAAAAAAGUGAUAAUUGAUAUAAUUAAUAUAAUUAGAGUAGUUGAGUAUAGUAGUUGUAGGUAAAAUUUAAAAUUAUUAUUAUUAAUCUAAUUUCUCUAAUAUUUAAACUUUGAAAAUAAGAUAAAUUGAAAACUAGGAUUAGAUACCCUAUUAUUCUUUAUUUUAAAUUUUUUUUUAUUUGAGUAGUAUAAAUAGUGACACACUAACUUAUAUUUGAAACUUAAAAAGCUUGGCGGUGUUAUAUAUCCAUUCAGGGGAGCUUGUUUAUUAAUUUGAUAAUCCCCAAUUAACUCUUACUUUUUUUUGAAUAUAUUUAUUAACAGUUUGUAUAUUGCUGUCAUCAGUUUAUUUCGUAAGAAUUAUUUAAAAAACUUGAAAGUAGAAUUUACUAAU
rnacentral:rRNA from 1 species